rnacentral:lncRNA from 1 species
AGCGCGGGGCGGGCGGCGCUCAUGGCGGCCCCGCGGCUGGGGCGUCCGGCGGCCGGGGGGAAAUCGCCUCCGUCUUCUUACCCUGCUCCAUUGCGGUUUUCUCCACUAGGACGAGCAGCAAAAAAUCUCAGUCCAAGCACGAAGAGCAUGCCACACUUGGCAGCAGCUGUAUGAGACUUUUUGAUCCAGGACGUAGCCAAAUGAGUCAGAGGCACUGCAGGCUUUAAUCAGCCCACCUGACGUCAAACCUCUCCAUCAGAGGAAAGUGCCGCCUGGAAAUGUCAACAUGCCCAAAUGGAAAGGCCAGAAGGUAAAUCUUUUCCUGUGCUCACUCACUGAGUAGGAAAGAACAAUUAAAAUUCAGCCAGUUCCCUAGACACAUCUUAAUAGCACUCUGAUUGAACGUUUUUCUCCUCCUCCGUCGCUGCUGUUAGCUGCCUGGGGACAAGGCCUAUUGGUUUGAAGGAUCUUUCUAAUGUAGCAUCAUACCCCAGUCCUGCAAGAACAAGGUGCUACCACCAGCAACAAAAAGGGCUCUGUAGGAAAAUUUUGUCACUGAAGUGACCUCUCCCACAAACACUGAGUUUACCAUGCCAUGACAGUGGUUCUCAGUUUCACACAUGUGAAUGCCCAGGGGUAAAAAGAGCAACUUAGCUUGGACCUAUGCCAUUUGUCAACAGAAAGUUGGAAUGAGGAAGAAAAGCAGCAGGAAUUAGACCAUUUUUUUGCCAGAGGUGUCAGUUACCUGAGGGAAGCCUGGCAGAUGCACCACAGCAAUAGGAAAUGAUCGUGGUCUGUAACAGAUUCAUGACCUACUGGGAAGAAAAUCCCUCUUGCAUCCUUUGUAACAAAACUCAAACUUUGGGCCCCUGUAAUAUACACAAGGUAAGAAGGAGCCCCCAGCUUUGAGUACAAGAAGCCUGUUCUU